UAAAGUCUGGAAUAUUCGUUAAGCUCUUAUUUUGAACCUACACUUAAACUACGGGAGUUCAAUAUUUAGAUGAGGAAAUGUACUUUUUUGUGAGUCCUUUAACGGCAUUGAGAGCGAUUGAUACAUCUGUGAGGACACCCACCUAUCGAAGGAUAGGGGUCAAAAUUAGAGUACCGGUAUUUUGGAUAUUAU
rnacentral:other from 1 species